UUAUGGCAGGGUGUAUAACCCCAAGCCACAGGAUGUUCAGGCACCUCAGACUAUUGAGGGUGUACGUCAGUUCCAGGCUUGAGCUUGUUCGUGCAGAGCAGAGACGAUCUUCCAUUCUACCGAAGAUGUAGGGUUUCUUUCCAGAUCUUGGAUUUGGGUUUUAUCUUUUAUUUUACUUUCAUUUAGUGUGAGACUUUUAUUAGGGGUCCACUAGAGAUGGAUUCCCGAGUUGUUCAAAUUAUGGAUAUUUGGUUUAUCAAAUUUAAGUAUUUAAUUAUUUAAGGAUUAUCUUUUA